rnacentral:tRNA from 2 species
GGCGAAGUGUCCGAGUGGUUAUGGAGCUGUGUUAAGGCCGCAGUGCGAAAGCGCGUGGGUUCGAGUCCCACCUUCGUCA